rnacentral:tRNA from 1 species
GGUGGCUCAGUGGUAGAGUGCUUGCCUGGCAUACAUGAGGCCUUGGGUUCGAUUCCUCAGCACCA